UGGGGUAUAGCCAAGCGGUAAGGCAGCGGAUUUUGAUUCCGCCAUUCCUAGGUUCGAAUCCUAGUACCCCAGCCA
rnacentral:tRNA from 1 species